rnacentral:rRNA from 1 species
UACGUAGGGGGCAAGCGUUGUCCGGAAUCAUUGGGCGUAAAGCGCGUGUAGGCGGCUUGGUAAGUCCGCUCUGAAAGCCCGGGGCUCAACCCCGGGAGGCGGGUGGAUACUGUCAAGCUUGAGUCCGGAAGAGGCGAGUGGAAUUCCCGGUGUAGCGGUGAAAUGCGCAGAUAUCGGGAGGAACACCAAUGGCGAAGGCAGCUCGCUGGGACGUGACUGACGCUGAGGCGCGAAAGCGUGGGGAGCAAACAGG